rnacentral:lncRNA from 1 species
UUCCAGGAACUGUCAAAGCCCCGGGCCGGCCCCGGCCGCGCCGACGACGCAACGAGCGCCAGGUGCCGCGGGGCCGCCCGGGCACAGCCGCGCCUCGUCGGGAGCCCCGGGCGGGGGCGGGGGGCGGGGCCCGCCCCAAAGCCUCUUAAGCUCCGCCGGAGGCCACGGGGAGCUACGAGGCAAUUCGCGAGGGGUUCUUCUCUCGUGGGAGUGGGGGGGGGUGCCGCUUUUGCAUGGAAUCUUCGGGGUUCUCUUAGACAUUCUCCCCGCGCCGCUUCGUUUCGGACUGCGGCGAGAGCUCUCAUGCUAAGGACCGGCCCCGACGGGAGCGGGGAUGCGGCGGGAGGCCGCCGUGUUCUCGCCCCGCUCGUUUCGGGGCCGGCGCUGGGCUUCCUCCGGGCUGCCCCGGCUUCUCCGGAGCCGGCCUCACGUCGCCGCUGCUCGGUUCCCCGAGUCCCGCUGCGGCCUUGCGGCGCUCUCGGCCCCACCCGGCGGAGCCAGGGCUGCGGCGGAGCGCCCGACCGCCCGAAGCAUCGUGAUCUGGGUAGCGGCGAGCGUUCGGCAGUCGCUGGGCGCAACUCCAGGAGCGCGAUCUCGUUCCCACGGCGGAGACGCGGCGGGGCGGCUCGCGGGACCGGCACGCUGCUGCGGCUGGCCGCGUCGUCCUGAGAACAGACGGAGCGGCGAGGCGGCGGAGUCGCUCUUCCCGCGGGAGAAGCGGCAGGCAUUGAGCCGUGCCCGCGGAUGGAUGCAGAACGACUGCAGCGCCGACGCGGGAGGAAAACGGGGGGGGACGAUCAUGCAGCACGGAUGCGUUGUGACUUUGCCUCUUACAGGAGCUGCUCGGAGGCAUCGCUCCGCAUGGGAAGGGGUCCCGCGAGCAGCUGCGAUUGAAGCUGGAAGUUUUGUUCCUGCGUGCUCAGAGGGGUGCGUGCCCAAGAGGAAGAACUAG